CCGGGUUCUUGACCUCCUGAGUGACAGCUGUAGACACGUCCUCCAGGGAAUCCUUACAGCUGGUGACAUCUGUGCUAGGUGAACCAGAUGUCAAAAUGAGACGUGUGAGAGAAAUUGUAGACUGUUUGGAAGGAAGCCGUCUCUGCUUAUGCUUCUGUCUCUGUGUGCCCUGCUGCUAUGAUGUUCAUGGGGAACUCUCAUGACUGUGGGUCCCCUCUUAAUGUGUUUGUUGUUGCAGAUGUCAUGGAUGUUCUGGACCCCAUCAGAACUCAGACCAUGCUCAGUCACGCGGAGGUCAACACCUUUCUGUCCAUCAGGUUAUGAGACCUUAGACAGUUGAGGGGCUUCUGGCAAGGAUGAGCACAGCCUUCAACCUGGACAAGCGUGAGGACAAUGAGAUCCGGAAAUCAGGGGAUCCCUGGAGCCUCUUUGGCUUCUUUCUUGUCAAGCACUGGCAGUUGCAGCUGGAGGACAAGAGGCUGACUUGAGUUGAACCCAGGUUCUUCCACGACCAACAGACCUGAGAGAAGAGAGGGCAGCCGAGGGGAGAGAAGAGACCAGAA
ensembl:lncRNA